rnacentral:rRNA from 1 species
GCCUACGGGGGGCAGCAGUAGGGAGUCUUCCACAAUGGGCGAAAGCCUGAUGAAGCAACGCCGCGUGGGUGAAGAAGGUCUUCGGAUCGUAAAACCCUGUUGUUAGAGAGGAAAGUGCGUGAGAGUAACUGUUCACGUUUCGACGGUAUCUAACCAGAAAGCCACGGCUAACUACGUGCCAGCAGCCGCGGUAAUACGUAGGUGGCAAGCGUUAUCCGGAUUUAUUGGGCGUAAAGGGAACGCAGGCGGUCUUUUAAGUCUGAUGUGAAAGCCUUCGGCUUAACCGGAGUAGUGCAUUGGAAACU